UGGAGAAUUUGAAAAGAAAUAUGAACCGACUAUCGGCGUGGAGGUCCAUCCACUGGAUUUCUUUACCAACUGUGGAAAGAUCAGGUUCUAUUGCUGGGACACUGCUGGGCAGGAGAAGUUUGGAGGACUGAGAGAUGGAUAUUAUAUCCAUGGACAGUGUGCGAUCAUCAUGUUUGAUGUAACUGCGAGGCUUACAUACAAGAACGUCCCCACAUGGCAUAGAGAUCUUUGCCGUGUUUGUGAGAAUAUUCCUAUUGUUCUAUGUGGCAACAAGGUUGAUGUCAAGAACAGACAAGUGAAAGCAAAAAUGGUUACUUUCCAUCGAAAGAAGAAUCUUCAAUACUAUGAGAUCUCUGCUAAAAGCAACUACAACUUUGAGAAGCCGUUUCUCUAUUUGGCUAGAAAACUUGCCGGGGAUCCGAAUCUUCAUUUUGUAGAAUCUCCAGCCCUUGCUCCUCCUGAAGUUCAAAUUGACCUGGAGCAACAAAGACAGUAUGAGGCCGAGAUUAAUGCUGCUGCUGCACAGCCCCUUCCUGAUGAUGAUGACGAAGCUUUUGACUAGGAGAUGGUGCACUGUCAGCUGAGCUCCUCUAUUAAAACCUUGAGUCUCAGCUUGCAUGGAACAUAUCUUGUCCGAGUUGUUAUUUCUUCUGUUUCUGCGGUAUUGUUGGUACUGUUUGUGUGAUAAUGGAAUUGUAGUGCCCCAUGUAGCAGCACUUUGUUUUAUUGCUGAACAUAUACUUUCCG
rnacentral:misc_RNA from 1 species